ensembl:lncRNA
GAAUGCACUUAUUAUGCAUUUAUUGAGCAUGCUGUGUGUGGUUGGGAAGGCGGGGAGUGGGGGUGGGAGAAAACAUCCAUCCUGCUAAUCGAGGUGACGGGGAUCAUCAGGCCAUUUUACCAAGCCGCCACUGCGACCUUGAGCGACUGGCACGUUUGCCGGCCUGCCCUACUCCCCACUGGCCUGAGGAAACCUGGAAGAAUCUGGAAGUACUGCCCAGCAAAUGUGAGGUCGCUUCCCUCCCAGGAAAGCCAGGAGACUUCCCAGAUGUUCCUAGACUGAUCCGCUUCCCAAGUGUCGUUUCAGGCUCUGCCCUGGCUUCUCUCUGGAGAUCAGCUCCCGCGUUGCCAGCCGCAGCCACCCAAGGGCUCCUGACGCCGUUCCUCCGCCCCUACCAGAUGCACCUGUCUCUCCUGGCAAUAUUCGAUUUUAAAGAACUUAUUUUUAAACUUGUGUUUGGGAAACAAGUCACCGGGAUACUUUACCCCGCGCUCUUUGUAGGGUUAAUUUGAUUCAGAUGUGUUUGUUUUUGUAAAGCGGCUUUGUGUAAGUGGACAGUUAUACAUAUUUUUAGUCAAAUUUUCUUUGUGGCUUGGCAUCCUAAAUGCGAUCUUCAUUUUUAAUCCCUACUUACUAUGUAGUUUUAUCUUUUAAAGCUUAAAUAUUUUGUCGUUGUUAAAAUUUUUAAAUGUCCUUUAGUCGAGUUUUUAUUUUUUAUUUUUUUAUGCAGCGUGAAUUUACGUAGGGAAGCCAAUUGUGAAAUACACCAAAAGGAUGUUAUCCUUCAAGUAACAUGAAGCAGUUUCCUUUUCGAGGGCCCCAGAAUGAGUUUCAAGAGAGGAAUGUGGUGAGGAAGGCCAAGGUUCCUCUCCUCCUCCAGGAUCUGCGGAUGUCACUGGUGAUCCCCAAAGAGCAGAGAUGUGCUGGCUGCCAGAUGCUCCUGGGUGGCCAGGGCCAGAGGGACUGGAACACUGCCCUGUGUCCAGGGAAUACUGCCACUGGCUCUAGCAGUUGUCCCAUUACCUAAAGUCAUGUCCCCAACUCCGCAGAACUCAGUGUCAGCUUUCACAUUCUGGAAUUUUUUUGUGUGUGAGAGGGAACAAAUAGAAGCAGAGUAAGGUCCUGUAGGAAGGGACUUGCUGGUUUUUUUCUGGGGUACCUGGCAUAGUCCUCAGUUCCAGACAACCGAGGAAUCACUCUCCUUUCCUUUUCUCAGCUGAAAAUUGCAUACUUUUAAAAACUUUUGGAAUAUUGACAAACCAUAUUUUAUGUAUAGUUUAUGUUGGUUGUACACAAUGUGAAAUGACUGAAUCAAGCUAACCAACAUAUCCAUGACCUUUGAUAGUUAUUGUUUAUUCCUCCUAAUACAUUGUACCUUUUAACCAGCAAAUUAUAUUCUUUACAAAUUAUAUUCUCACUCCUUUCCAGAUUCAAACUACUUGAACAAAAUAAGACCAAGAACAAAUUCUGGUGCACACAACUCCAUUCAAUAUUUCUACUUACUUUAAUUAUAGAAAAAUUGGAAACAGAAUGAUGGCGCAAUUAUGAAAUGCCAGUAGCAUAACAGGUCUAAGCUUGUGGUUCUGUGAGCUCAUGGUAACAUGAAAUGUUUGUAUAUGAACUGUGUAUGCCAAGAAGAGUGAAGUAAGGCAUGAAGGCAUUUAUGACAUUGGAAGAAAAAUUAAAGCCUUGGAAGUCAUCAUUAGAAAAUCAAAAGAGACAAGAAUUGAAAAAAUGGAUUUAUACCCAAUUAAAGUCACAAAAAAUAAUGAUAGCAAUUUUCCUGUAUGGGCAAAAAGCCUUUAUUUCAAAAGUGAAGGGUAUUAAUCCUUACAGAGGGAUGUAUUAUGUAAUAUAAGAAUAUUUAUCUUGGUGUUUAUCCUAUUUUUAAAAAUAUAUGGGGGGGCUGGCGCUGUGGUGCAGAGGGUUAACACCCUGGCCUGAAGUGCCAACAUUCCAUACGGGCACCGGUUCUGGUCCCGGCUGCUCAACUUCCCAUCCAGCUCUCUGCUACGGCAGUAGAAGAUGGCUGGCCCCUGCACCUGUGUGGGAGACCCAGGGGAGGCUCCUGGCUCCUGGCUUCAGAUUGGCACAGCUCCGGCCAUUGUGGCCAACUGGGGAGUGAACCAUUGGAUGGAAGACCUCUCUCUCUCUCUCUCUCUCUCUCUCUCUCUGCCUCUCCUCUUUCAGUGUAACUCUGACUUUCAAAUAAGUAAAAGUAAAUAUUUAAAAAAAUAUGAGUAAAUCAACAAAAUAAAAUAACUUUCUUUUUUUUUGUUUGUUUGUUU